GGAUACAGAAAUGCGAUGAUUAAAAAUAGAAGCCAGUAUUUAUUUACAGUUUAGUUCCCAGCUUGGGGAAAAUCGUCUAGUAUAUUACAAAAGCUGUAGACUCUACGUGGCCUACUCAGCCACCAACUCCACUCAACAUAUAUCUAUGAGACCUACGUACUAGCCAACUACGCCACCACCUUUGCUCCCCACUUUUCCCCCACCACCAAGUGCACCACUACUCUUUUUCUCACCAACUCCACUCAAAUAUUUAUUUGUUUGGCACCAAAUAAGUGGGCUGUCACCUUUUCCACCGAAAGCCAUGCCUUUCACCUGUCAAUCAGCCAACAACUCUUCCCAUAUAAUCUCAUUAUCAGCCAGCAACUUCCUGAUAUUUUCUUUCCUCGUGCGCUGUCAUUCAAAGGGGAGGAAUUGAUUCGGCUGCUGUCAAGCUGGAAGAGUAUUUCCCCACUGUAUUCAACAACGCCAACCAAAAGAACAAACAUUCGCAAGGUAUUCAUUAUUUCAGUUUAUUCAAGUUCCGGCUAUAUGCAGCAUAUGCCCAGUUUUAGAAAUGCAUAGUAUGAGAGGAGAAGCAUGACCAUAUUAUCGACAUAGAACUCACUAGCAAACCAACAGAUUAUAUGAACUCAUUUUUAUGAGAAACAUAGAAUGCCAGUUCAUGCCAAUAAUAAUAAUAAAAAAAAACUAUAUGCAUAAAUGGCUAACCUUAGCAUAACUAUAUUUUACUGCUAGAUAAAUUCACUAACUGAGAAUCAAUGAGAAAAACCACCAAAAAUCCUAUCUUGCCCAAGCGGAGAUAAUUACAGCAAGAUAGAGAGUGAUACUUUCCUCUUAUGCUUAGAACCGAGCCAUUUGGGGCUCGGCUUAAGACGAGUUCAGCCGAGAGUCGCGACGGAGAGGAGGAGGCCGGAGCAGCGCCGCUCCCAGACGACAGCAGCCCGUCGGAUUUCGGACGAGGAUGCGGCCGCAGCAGCGACCUGGGUUUGACGAUUAGGGCUCUGCGAUGAAAGGAAAGGAGGCGGCGCGAUCAACAAUUGCUCGCCGGCGGUUGGGACGGCCAGAGCAGCGGCAGACGAAGCCCUCGGCGGCCUGACGAGCAGCAGCAGUCGGCGGCGACUCCAGGCGAAGCAGCAGCCGCUCCAAACGGCGGCGAUGGCUCCAGACAAGGGCGUGACAGCAGCUGACGUUCGCCGGAUCCCAGUUUUUCAACGGCGGCAACGAUUUAUGAUGGAAGAAAUUAGGGCUCUUGUUGGUGUGAUUUCUGGGGGAUUCACUCGAGAGGUGAAGGCGUAAGAGAGAAGCAGACAGGGUUGCGCCGACCGAUUGUGCGGCGACCUCGCCGGAUUUGCAGAAGCAGCAGACGCGGCGGCGAAAUUUUGUUAGAUGAAGAAGAGGACUCUCGGCCUUGAAUUCUGUAAAAAAAAAAACGUUGAGAGUUGAGAGAGAGAGAGAGCCGAGAGCUUGAGAAAAAAAAAGAGAGGAUGGGCUGACUUUAUUAAGUUUGGGCUUAAUUUUAUCUAUAUUGUUUGGGCCGAAAAUUUAAAAGAUUUGGGCUUUCUUUUUAUGUUGGGCCAUUACAUUGGGCCGUGUUAUUUCUUUAUUUUGGGCCGAGUCUUGGGCCGAUUUUUAAUAAGUGAUGGGCCGAUUUUUAAAUGGAAUUUGGGCCUCUUCAUUUAUUUUAAUUGGGCUUUUAUCUUUUAAAAGAUUGGGCUUGUGUUUAAAUGGUAUUGGGCUUUGGCUAUGGGCCGAUUUUAUUAAAGUCUUUGGGCCGAUUUUAUUAAAGUCUUUGGGCCCUGAUUUAAAUUGAAACAUUGGGUUUAUGUUUUUUUAUAAAAAGAAAUGGGUUACCUUAUUAUUUAAUUGGACUGUAGUUCAAAGAAAAAUGGAUACUUAUUAAUUAGACUAUUUAUUUAGUUUAAUUAAUUAUUUUUCUCAAAAGAUGAAUAAUAAUAUUGUAUUAUUAUUAUGUGCAUAUAUUAAGUAAAUUACUUAUUAUAUGCUAAGCAUGACAUGAAAUUGCAUUUUUACUUGCAUAAAGUAUUAAUGGUUUAAUAUAAAUCCAAUUAUUAAAGAAAGACGAGUAAAGAAUAUUACGUUGGUGUUUCUUAACUCAAGAGAAAUGUUUUUCAAUUAUUUAUUAAAAUUUUUGAAAAGCCCGAUAAUUUUUACGUAGAUCACACCUCGUUUAAAGCCGAGUUAGUCCUUUUUCUAAUCAAGUACAAAUGCGAGGUUAUUUCACGACUAGAAUAUUCCGAUGAGGAAGGAAGAAUCACAGUUUUAUUCGACCGCGCUAGACGAGAAUUAGCUAAAUCUAUUAACGAGGAUUAAUAGUAGAAUUCCCGAUUAUCGCUCAGAGUAUUAGUUCAUGCAUACCAGAUUCAUGCAUAGUUAAAUUACGCUUUCUCAUUAAUUAAGAAUUUUCCUCGAGACAAUGUCUUAUUUUAUAUUCUCGUGAUUAAGGUCAAACGCGAGAGUAAGAACUACACAAGGAGUUAGAGUACCUUAGCAAAACUUUGCUAUCAGGUGGGCAAUUUCUUACGCGUAAAUAAAAUGCUAUGCAUGUGUUAUGCUUUAAAAUGCAAAUUGGAUCUUCAAGUGUGGUAUGCUUUAUUAUGCUUUACGCUAAAUGAUUUACGCUUGAUUACGCUUGAAUGUUUUACGCUGAUAAGUUUAUGCCUGUGAUUGAUGCUUGCGUCUGUUGGGGGAGGCCUCCCUCAAUAGUACGAUGCCGUGUCCGUUGAGGAGGGCCUUCCUCACGGCGCGAUGCCCGUGUCCGCUGAGAGAGGCCUCUCUCGCGGCGCGAUGCCAGUAUGCCAGUAUGCCAGUGUUACAGCGUCUAUUGGGGGAGGCCUCCCUCAAUAGUACGAUGCCGUGACCGCUGAGGAAGGCCCCCCUCACGGUGCGAUGCCCGUGUUCGUUGGGGAAGGCCUUCUCCACGACACGAUGUUUGUUUAUGAUGAUGUUAAUGAUGAAGAAUGCCCUUAUGCUAUUUAUGAAUUUGGAAAUGUUUAAUGAGCAAAGGAUAUGAAAGAAACUCAUGCCUCUUAUGCGAUAUUGUGAAAUUGUUAAUGAUGUUAUGUUAUAUGCUUGGCAACUGCCCACUAAGUACUCUUGUACUUAGCCCUUCGAUGUUUAUGUUUGUGCAGGUUGAGCUGUGAUGGGCGAUGAAGUGUUGUUGCUGAGUGGAGUUUUUGUCGAACUUAAAGUAGGCUCAGAAAGGAUACAUGUCUUCAUACAUGUAUCUCAGUUAUGCUUUCCGCUGUAAACACUGAUUAUUUCAGUUACGCCUUCCGUUGCAAACUCUGAUAAUGUUUUAGCCAAGCCCCUAACGAUGCCUUUUUCCUUUUAAGGAAUAUAACGCUUAUACAAGUUCGUUGAGUACCCUUUUUAUGCGAAC
rnacentral:lncRNA from 1 species